rnacentral:rRNA from 1 species
AUUGAACGCUGGCGGCAUGCCUUACACAUGCAAGUCGAACGGCAGCACGGGUGCUUGCACCUGGUGGCGAGUGGCGAACGGGUGAGUAAUACAUCGGAACGUACCUUAUCGUGGGGGAUAACGCAGCGAAAGCUGUGCUAAUACCGCAUACGCCCUGAGGGGGAAAGCGGGGGAUCGCAAGACCUCGCGCGAUUAGAGCGGCCGAUGCCUGGUUAGCUAGUUGGUGGGGUAAAAGCCCACCAAGGCGACGAUCAGUAGCUGGUCUGAGAGGAGGAUCAGCCACACUGGGACUGAGACACGGCCCAGACUCCUACGGGAGGCAGCAGUGGGGAAUUUUGGACAAUGGGGGCAACCCUGAUCCAGCAAUGCCGCGGGAGUGAAGAAGGCCUUCGGGUUGUAAAGCUCUUUUGUCAGGGAAGAAACACCGGCUCUAACACAGUCCGGGAAUGACGGUACCUGAAGAAUAAGCACCGGCUAACUACGUGCCAGCAGCCGCGGUAA